ACUCAAAUGAAUAGACGGGGACCCGCACAACCGGUGGAGCGUGUGGUUCAAUUCGAGACAAAGCGAAAGACCUUACCAGGUCUUGACAUCUUACCGUUUUAAGCCGCUGGAAACAGUGGCCUAUCCGCAAGGAUGGUAGGACAGCUGCUGCAUGGCUGUCGUCAGCUCGUGCCGUGGGGUGUUCCUUUAAGUAGGAGAACGAGCGCAACCCGUAUCUAAUGUUACAAGUGUCAUUAGAGACUGCCCCGCCUCUAGGCGGGGAGGAAGGAACGGACGACGUCAAGUCAGCACGGCGCUUAUGACCUGGGUCACACACACCCUACAAUGGCGAAAAACAAUGGGAAGCUAGCGGGCAACCGUAUGCAAAUCCCCUGUAAAUUUCGCCUCAGUUCAGAUUGGGGUCUGCAACCCGACCCCAUGAAGUCGGAAUCGGUAGUAAUCGCAGAUCAGCAGGCUGCGGUGAAUACGUUCUCGGGUCUUGUACACACCGCCCGU
rnacentral:rRNA from 1 species